AUGGGAAGUAAAUGAGCAUCUCACUCUCAAGUCUCCUUGAUAGUUUUAGCAAAUAGGCCCUAGCAUAAUGUCCUCUUUCAUUUGUUCACGUGCUAAAAGAGCCGUUUGGCCUUUUCCCUUCUCUUUCCAUACCGAUUGUAUCAAGUAUGGGAAGUUAUAAGAAGCUUCCUCUUAAAAGAACACUGAUGAGCAAAACAGCAUAAAACGAAGGAGGUAUUCAUACAAAAAAUGAAUUGAGCUUGUGUGGACUGGUGGGUUGUCUGCUUAAUUAAUUGAAGUACUUAGUAUGAUCUGUGACCUCUAAUUUUUGUGAGUUUAUGUUCGGUGUGCGGACAGUGUAAAGAACUUCUAUACUACAUCUUGUUAGGUUGACCUACAACAUGUUACUCUCUGUAUCAAGUUUGAUGUGGUAAUCCUGAAAUUAAAAUAUUAACCUUCUAG
rnacentral:lncRNA from 1 species